rnacentral:rRNA from 1 species
UACGAAGGGGGGCUAGCGUUGUUCGGAUUUACUGGGCGUAAAGCGCACGUAGGCGGAUUGUUAAGUCAGGGGUGAAAUCCUGGAGCUCAACUCCAGAACUGCCUUUGAUACUGGCAAUCUUGAGUCCGGAAGAGGUGAGUGGAACUCCUAGUGUAGAGGUGGAAUUCGUAGAUAUUAGGAAGAACACCAGUGGCGAAGGCGGCUCACUGGUCCGGUACUGACGCUGAGGUGCGAAAGCGUGGGGAGCAAACAGGG